rnacentral:lncRNA from 1 species
UAUGAUAAUCAAAGAUGAUUGAACAAGGAUUACAUUAAGCUUACAGGGAGCUAAUUGAUCAAGGGGGGAGUGUUGUGAAAUAUUUUACGUUAGUGAUCAAUUAGGUAGAUAAUUGCGACCCUUUCAUGAAGGAGCCGACCUUUGAAAGGGCCAAUCCUUCAGGACAUUUGGCCCUUUAAGCAUGUCCUUUCACCAUGUAUAAAUAUAUAACCACGCCGUUCAUUCAAUCAAUAAAGAGAAUUAUCGCUAUUUUAAACACUGCCUUCUGGGCGUUUGAGUAGCCAUUUGCGAUUCAGGAGGUCUGAAAUGAACAUACACGCAUUGUCAUUUUAGUAUAGCAUGUCGAUCAGUACACAUGGCAUAAU